UGCAGUCCGAACAAUCGAUUCCGACUCAUCGGACGUCUCACGUCACUAACUUGACGAUUUACCAUCUCUAUCACAAAUCAAAACAAAACAAAGUUAUAUUUACAUCAAAAAACUAAGACAAUUGGACGAAAUUGGUGGCUUCGAUGUCCUUGCCGCGACGCACCCACCCUUCCUUGGGUGCCCCAAGAACGGUAUUGGAGGCACGCCCCAUCUCCAGCAGACCGGAGUCUAUUCCUGGUGGAUUAGGAUCGGCUCAUCUCCCCGCCCAAGCAACACUUAAGGCCGAACUCAGACCGUCGCCUAGAUGAGAAGUGGUCAAAGCGAUAAUGGAAGGGACAUUUUUGGACGCUUAAGAUUACAAGUGUUUGGGCAAAAACGCCACUGAUGCAAAUUACACGGCACCAAAUUGGAGGCGUUUGUCAACCGGGUCACCUAAUCCUGAGGAGCUCCAAGGGAAAAGAAAGGACAUGCUAAUAUGGUAAGUAUGCUAAAUUAAUCCCUUAAUUCAUUAAAUUUCGCGACCCAAUUUAAACGUAGUUGGACGCGCGGCUGAAGUGCGGAAUUAAUGCCUCUAAUUCCAGAUUAGAUUUCACAAGUUCAAAAUUGGUCGUUGUCGAAGCUGCGACCAGAAGAAGAGACCGCUAGCGGCGAAAGCCGGGUCUGCACGGAGCCAAGUGGUCCGGAGAAUUCACACAGCGUCUGCGCCAGAGGACCCGGAGGCAGUGCGUCGGUGGUCCCAGGGAUGACCAGGUGGUUCCCGGAACGGACUCACGCCGGGAAUCUCCGUAUGUGGCUGACGCGAAAGAUCGCUGAUGCUGCUGCGCUGAUGAUGCUGCGGCUGGUGCUGCUGCGGCUGGGGCUGCUGCGGCUGGUGCUGCUGCGCUGAUGCUGCUGCGGCCGAUGCCGAUAAUCGCUGCCGCUUCUGAAGCUGAUCGCUGCUGCUGGUGGACGACGUGGUCUUCACGACCAGGUUAGGUCCGCCUGGUAAGUGUUGACCCUCCCGAAUCCUCUAAAUUUCCGGGGCCCUUUAGAUAGGGUUCCCGGCGGCUUCAAUAUUUAAAAAAAAACACUGUCAUUUACAAGUUUAGGAAUAAUAAAUAACUACUCACUUUGAGUUAUCUAAACACUAAUUUUCGUCUCAAUUUAGUUCCCGACCGUUCACCUACGACUUCUUGCAGCAACUAAAGCAAAACCCUGACCUACACCAAAGUCGUUCGCCAUUUUCCCUCCCGCUCUCUCAAUAUGGGUCAGCGAACGUAUUCAAGGCUAUUUAACCCACUUAACGAGCGAACCGGGCUAAAUUUAAAUAGCUAGAUCCUCUCCCGCUAUCAAUAGUCGGUGUCACCACCGAAUCUUAUCGAUAGCGGGACCUGCUGACGUGUCGGUUGUUUUGGUAUUUUCCCGACGGCUUCAACUGAAAAUGCAACACGCUCUAUUAUAAAUGUUGGUGUGCUCUACGUAAUGCCAGUCUGAAAAAAAAUGAAAGUUAAAAAAACCACACUUUAAAAAAUGUAUUUUUAAAUUUUGGCAAUAAACCUUCUAAAGUACCCAUUUCCAUCAAACCUGUAA